rnacentral:sRNA from 12 species
CCUUGACUGCAAUCAAGCAGACACUAGCCACGACAAGGAGAUUAAAAUG